CUUUACCACUAUUUCUCUCUCCAAUCUUUCUGUUUCUGUCUGAUCUCAGAAGCUAAGCAGGGUCAGGCCUGGUUAGUACUUGAAUAGGAGACCGCAUGGGAAUAACAGGUGCUGUAGGGU
ensembl:rRNA 5S_rRNA 5S ribosomal RNA